rnacentral:rRNA from 1 species
UUGGGAAUCUUGGACAAUGGGGGAAAGCCUGAUCCAGCCAUGCCGCGUGUGUGAAGAAGGUCUUCGGAUUGUAAAGCACUUUAAGUUGGGAGGAAGGGCAUUAACCUAAUACGUUAGUGUUUUGACGUUACCGACAGAAUAAGCACCGGCUAACUCUGUGCCAGCAGCCGCGGUAAUACAGAGGGUGCAAGCGUUAAUCGGAAUUACUGGGCGUAAAGCGCGCGUAGGUGGUUUGUUAAGUUGGAUGUGAAAUCCCCGGGCUCAACCUGGGAACUGCAUUCAAAACUGACUGACUAGAGUAUGGUAGAGGGUGGUGGAAUUUCCUGUGUAGCGGUGAAAUGCGUAGAUAUAGGAAGGAACACCAGUGGCGAAGGCGACCACCUGGACUAAUACUGACACUGAGGUGCGAAAGCGUGGGGAGCAAACA